UGAAACGCCGUAGCGCCGAUGGUAGUGUGGGGUCUCCCCAUGCGAGAGUAGGGAACUGCCAGGCAU
rnacentral:rRNA from 1 species